CCAGCCUCCGGACUUGUCUUACCCGCCCCGCCUCUCUCUUUGAAACAGCGGGCCGGGUGACGCUUCUUUGGCGCGUGCGCAUACCUAAACACAGAUUAGCGGUGAAGGCUGCGUAAUUGAGAUAAAGGCUCUUUAAAAAAAAAAAAUGGUUUCAAAGACCCAGGCUCUCUGCACGCCUCUGUUUGCUGAAGCCUAUCCUCUGAGCCCAGGAUCUCUUCGUGCACAUGCGCAGAAGGCUCAAUGACAGUCGCUCAUCGCUCUUCGGCUAAGGCUCUGGGAAAGAGGGCUGGCUAUGUUGCAUGUGACCUGGGGGUCCAAGGUCCGAGUAUGGUCCCUGGUGCCUGCUCUUCUUGGGACUCCCCGGGCUCUGUCGUCCCUGGCGAACAAGAUGGGGGUGUACCGAAAGAUGUGGAACCCCACGGAGCCCCGCGACUGGGCCCUGCAGUACCGCGAGCGCUUCAUUCCAUUCUCCAAGGAGCAGCUGCUCCGCCUCCUGAUACAGGAGUUCCACUCUAGCCCAGCAGAGAGAGCGGCUUUGGAGGCAUUCUCAACUCACGUGGACUUCUGUACCCUGUUUCACUACCAUCAACUCCUGGCCAGGCUGCAGGCCUUGUAUGACCCCAUCAACCCUGACAGGGAGACCCUGGACCAGCCAUCCCUUUCUGAUCCCCAGCGUCUGUCCAGUGAGAAGGAUGUGCUCCAGGCUCUGAAGCCCCUGCUGGCCCAGGCCAACUUCUCUGCACUCUCUGAAGAUGCCCUGGCCUAUGCACUUGUCGUCCAUCACCCUCAGGAUGAGGUCCAGAGAUAUUUCAAGCGUGUGGUGCUGACAGCGUGCACUAAACGAGGGCACCUGGUUCUGAAGAGCUUCAAGGAUACCCCGCUGGAGGGCUUAGAGCAGCUGCUGCCAGAACUGAAGGUGCGCACGCCCAUGCUGCAGCGCGCCAUGCUCAACCUGAUGCUGGUGGUCUCGGGAGUUGUGUUCUUCGUCAAUGUGGGCAUGGUGAUACUGUCUGACCUCAAGAUGGCCACCUCCCUGCUGCUACUGCUCUUUGCUGCCUUCAUGGGCCUGAGGGCCUCCAAGGUGUUUGGGCAGCGUAGAAGUGCGCAGGCGCUGGAGCUGGCGCACGUGCUGUACUACCGCAGCACAUCCAACAACUCGGAACUGCUCAGUGCCCUGGCGCUGCGCGCACAGGAGGAGCACAUCAAGGAGGCCCUGCAGGCUCACAGCUUUCUAGCCCACUGCCCAGGGGGCGCCCAAGGCCUCCCUGAAGAGACCUCCAAGUGGCUACAGUCUGAAGUGGAGAGCUGGCUUCUAGCCCAGUCAGGCUGUGAUGUGGCCUUCAAUGGAUCUCGGGCCCUAGCCCACCUACAAGCCCUGACUCCCAGCUUGGGCUUGUUCCCACCACCUGAGUUGCCACAACUUGACCCACGGGUCCUAGACACUCCAGAGGCCCCGCAGGCUGCUGCGCCCGGUGGUAGCUACCCCUCAUCCUGACCACUUAAUCACGUCCGGUACUGGCAGGGUGCCAAGCUCCGCCUCCUCCAUAGCAAGGUGUCAAUCGCGGCAACUGUAUCUCCUGCCCGGACUCUUGGUUGUCGACAAGGCCAUUAUUUCUCCUAGGCCAUUAGUUUUGCUAUGCUAUGCACUUAAAGAGUAGUCAGUCAGGGCUGCUGGCAGUUGCUAAGCAGCCUCCUGAGGCCAGCCAAUCAAAGUCGUGUAUCUCAGCUUGUAUUUUAUUUCUCGGCCCCGCCCCUGACGGGAACCUCACCCAGGCCGGGUGGAGGGGGCGGAGUUUGGGGAGGUUUGACACAGCUGCUGGAUUGCAGCUGCUGGAGUUGACCACUGUGAGCCCAGCUGGGCUGUGAAAGCUGUGCCUGGAGGCCCUGCUUCAUCUUCCGUUUAGCCUGCACAGGAACUAGCUGCCACACACACCUGGGCGGGGCCCACUGCAGCUGACAAGCCGUUUGGUCCUGGCACAUCGAGGGUGCGUACACUGGGCACUUCAACCACGGGCAGCCAAUCAGAAUUCCUGGAGGAAUUCUGCGAAUCCAUGUGAGAUGAGCCAUCUGUUCUGCAGCUGAUCCGUCCUGGUUGAAGGCAAUGGGAACUGCCUGGCCCAAAGAAGACGGUGGGCCUGCAGCAUUCCGCCCCAAGAUCACUCCAGCUCAGACCCAACCAGCCCUUGCUGCAGAAGCCGCUUUGUGUGGCUGCAGGUGAAAUCGGGUGGUCAGAAUCCUGGAAAGAGGGAGUGGCGGGGUCCCAGAUGGGGGUCUCAGAAGGCACUGGUGUCGG